AAAUUGAAGAGUUUGAUCAUGGCUCAGAUUGAACGCUGGCGGCAGGCCUAACACAUGCAAGUCGAACGGUUACAGGAAGCAGCUUGCUGCUUUGCUGACGAGUGGCGGACGGGUGAGUAAUGUCUGGGAAACUGCCCGAUGGAGGGGGAUAACUACUGGAAACGGUAGCUAAUACCGCAUAACGUCGCAAGACCAAAGAGGGGGACCUUAGGGCCUCUUGCCAUCGGAUGUGCCCAGAUGGGAUUAGCUAGUAGGUGGGGUAAU
rnacentral:rRNA from 1 species